rnacentral:lncRNA from 1 species
GUCUAACCCUGGCCUGGAGCACUGGAGGAUGAGGUCCGCUGACUGCAGCGUCCAUCCUGGUCCUCCCCAGGCACUGUGGCCUCCCUCACAGCAUGGCUGCCUUGGGUACUCGGACUUCACGUGGAAGGCCAGGGCUCCGAGAGCAAAUGCCCCAGCAAGACAGAAGCUCAGCCGCCUUUGAUGACCUAGAAGCUAGGCAGCAUCCAUUGUACUGCCUUCUAUGGGUUGUGAGUGAGUCCCAAACCUGCCUUGACUCAAGGAAACGGAAUUAGGCUCUACGUCUUGACUAGGUAGUGGCGAAGUUCUGGAAGCACAUGAGUAGGAGAUACUGUGACGGUUUCAUCUUUGGAAAAUACCAUCUAGCACACCUGAAUCUGCUUUCAGGGGGUGUAAGGGGAUUUCCAUGGCAAAAUUUGAAGCCACAUGUGGUCACUGCUUUGUACUGAGGAAACAAAGUGCUCUGGGCAUCCAGAAAGGGGGUACGUUUUUUCUUACUGGGAUAAAUCUGGCUGCAUUUUAGCUAAUCCUGGAAAAUUGAUCGACAAAAGCAAAGGACCAAGAAAGCUGCUUAUAUCAGUGUCUCCUCCACCCUCAGCCUCCAGUAGCAUCCCUACGUUUUACAAUUUUAUUUAUGUCACUUUAAAUAAGGACAUUGAGAGGGAAAAGGCCUCAUCGACAUACCAACUACAGGCCAGGUGGACCUUCGGUGCACACACACCCCAGCGCCCACAGAGAUCCAGGCCUCCUGUGUAUGAAUGUGUGCCAUGAAUUUAGACCUAUUUCUCGCCUUCCGGGCUCUCUAUUCCUCAUCCUCCAUCCAAGUGGCCAUCUUGUGCAGUGCAUCCUCUGCAAUUUGAGGUGACCCUCUUCUCCAGCUGCUGCUGCAGAACCCCAAGUGUGGUCCCCACACCCCCUCACGGUACACUUCAGCAGGAAGGUGCUUCUGCGUCCCCCUGUCCUCAUCCUCCACUGCAGCUGUCCUGCUUCAUCUCUUCCUCCUGGACUCAGGUUGGCCUUGGGCCCUGCUCCAAAAGGAGCACAUUCACCACAGCUUCAGACUUCCUCCUGCUGCCGCUGCUCCUCGGAAGCAAACCUGGUGACUGCUGAUGUCCAGGCCUAGACCAUGCCUGGCAGAGCAGCCAUGGGGUGGAGAAACAAGUCCUCAAGAGGGCUGCGAGGAGAGGCACAGAGACGGUCAGGGAAACUGAGGUCACACAACUGGGAAUAAGAAGGUGGGGUGCUGGGGGGCUUGUCAAUGUGGUUCUUCCACAGAGGAUGGAAAGCCCCUUCAUUUCUGCCCAAGAAAGUAUCUUCAGCAUUCACCGAAAUCUCCCCAAGAGGGAAGCGCCGCAGGAAGGGGAACUAGGAAGGAAAUACAAGCUGGUGCUUACUCCAUCCCCGUCACAAAGAGGCUCAGAGAGAGACUUGGGAACGAUAUGCAUAUGCAAUUUUUUAAAUCACUCAUUCAAGAAAUAAUAAUGAAAAAUGAGUUAUAGGCAAUGGAUUAGUAAGUGCUGAUCAGAUUGACUAUGUAAGUGAAUUACAUUCAAAUUACAUGUGAAGGAGCUCUAUCAAGGGCAAUUAUGGGUCCUUCGAGAGGCUUUAAAAAGAGGAGGGAUGAAACUUGGUUAAAAUGGGGGCUCGUUAAAGGCAAGAGGAGUACAGAAUGGUUGAGGUAACUUUCUCUGUGCCCCACUGUCAGCCCUGCUCUGCCAAGCAGGCUUGCAGGUGGGGAUAUUUGCUUGCUCUGGGUUCAGCAAGUCCUUGUGCUGCCUUGCCUAACCUGCUUCCGAGGUAUCGGGUUUUAAGCUGGUGUGGCAAGAAUGAUAUUGGCCUUUGUGUUCUAAAGGAGUGGCAUGAAGCACAGUGGACCUUGAUCUUCAAUUGACGCCACAGUCUCCCUAAUCCACUGAUCUCCAAUCAUCCCACUAGAUUAGCCACCCUAUCAGGCAGUAUUUUUCCAUGUCCCAUGUGCUCAAGGACGAAGCUUUAAAAGCAAGCUUGGAAGCUUAUGCGAUGCAGUACAGUGUCGGGGGUUGGCAGGGGAGAGAAAAGCAAAGGACUUACAUUUGUUUUAGAAAUUGCUGCCAAAAGAUAAGCUUGUCUGUGCAACUAUAUGACUUCUGACACUGAGGCAGGGAGGAUUGUGAAACCAGGAUAGACAGAAUUUCAGCCAGCAAAUAAGUACACGUUCACUUUAGCCAGGGGGUGGGGUGGGGAGGCGGCUGGGAAGGGACUGAGUUUAUGAAGAGGCCUAGAGUAAUAGUUUCUGAAGCAUUACUUAUCUAGUGCUAGGCGGCAGAGUUCAUUUUGUUUGUAUGCGGUGAUUACUUGCAGUCUACAUGCAGAAAACCAGUUUAUCUAAUGAAGCGCAGGACUACAAAUAGAGGUUUCUUAAUAGAACCAGGCGACUGCCAUGGGCCUCACCCUGACCGCUGGGUCACAGAGCCUUACCAUCGGGGACUAGGCUUUGGGAGGCACUGAGGCAAGUUGGAGAAUUAGAAAAGGAGUCAGCCAUGAGUUAUGUCCUGGCUAUUACCGAGAGAUAAUCUAAAAAAUGAAAAUAAAGCUGCAUAUCAGGAGUUGGAAGCAAUGUUUUACUGAAGGGCAGUCCGGAGACAUGCAUUUUGUUUCCAGGUGUUCAAAUGCACUUCCUCUUGCUGAGGGGGCCCGAAAGCCUCCCGCUGGCUGCUCUGGGUCCCAGGUGCGUCCAGACGUUGCCAGACACACCUCUGUCAGGUGAGGCAGGCUCCAAGGGAGGAGGCCUUGGCUUUGUUAAUUUUGCAGAAGAGCAGGGACUUUCAUGACAAUUUUUUUGAUCUAAUGACAAGCUAUUUCCUCUACCAUUAGUGUCCCGAAGGGCAAAUUCUAAAGCCAAGGCCAUUUGAUAAAGCCUGGGGAAUUUAUUGCAAGGCAGAUGGACACAGCAGCAGCACAUAAGAGCACACGCGUGGGGCUCCAGCCCGGCCACGGGGAGACCUUUUCUCAGCAAAGGGCAGCACUGCUCGCUUUGCUGGGGCAGCCCUCCCAGGAAGAUCCCAGAAGAGAUGGUCUGAGGUGUGUGAACACUGUGAAUGUCAUGGACAAAGCUCAGCGUGGGACCCCAUGGGACUUCAGGCCCUGAAAGCAGCAGAUCUCACCUGCAUUGGAGGAUGAGACGCCACAUGAAGAAGAAAGAAGACGCCACAGACAGCAGCGCAGUACCACCUUCCAGAGAUGUGAGUGUGACCGUCUUUGACCUUCUAGCCCAGCUGCUUUCCCUGAAUGCAAUGCAUGAGCAGGCCAGGCAAAACUAGAGAGGGAAGCUGCCCAGCUAACCCACAGAAUUAUGAGAGAUAAAAAAUCAUUGUCUUAAGCCACUAAGUCUGUUAUGCAGCAAUAUAUAGCAUUCAUUCAACUUUUGUCUCAUGAAUACUCUCAUUUCUUUUAUAAGUUCUUUUGUGGUUCAAAUUAGCUCAAAUCAGUUUCUGAUGCUUAUGACCAAAUGCCCCUAUGUGAUAGAUUUUGAGGGGUUAAGAAGCUUGCUCGGAUCACACAGCGGUAAGUAGCAGCACUUCAUCUUUAACCCACCUCUGGCCCACUCCCUUUCCAUAGGUCCUUGUUGCCUCCCUCCCUAAUCCCUUCCAGUCUAGUUUCCUCACUCAUUUUAGCAUCUUGAAGAUGCCUGACCUUUUGUAACAGGCACUUAGAAGAGGCAAUAAUCAAGCUGUGAGCUGGAAUACUGGGUUUCUCAUCCAAUAACCAGGUUGGCAGGUUGGUAACCAUACAAGGGACUUUUCAAACUGGAGAAUUAGUGUGCUGAGCACAAAGUGGUGAGUAUUUUGAGAGUUACUGAAAUAUAAUUGACAUAACAAUAAAAAUACAAUAUUUAAGUGCAUGUAUUUCAAGUGUACGAUUUGACAAGUUUGGUUAUAUUAUAUACACCUACGAAACCAUCACCACAAUUAAGAAAAUGAGCAUAGCUAUCACACACAAAAGUUUCCUUGUGCCCCUUGGUAAUUCCUCCCUCUCUCCUGCCCACAUCUCUCCUUUUCCCAGGCAAUCCCUGAUCUGAUUUCUGCCGCUAUCAAUUCGUUUGCAUUUCCUAGAAUUUUAAAUAACUGAAAACAUACAUUAAGAACUCUUUUUCUCUGGCCGAGUAUGGUGGCUCACGCCUGUAAUCCCAGCACUUUGGGUGGCCAAGGCGGGCAGAUCACCUGAGGUCAGGAGUUCGAGACCACCCUGGCCAACGUGGUGAAACCCUGUCUCUACUAAACAUACAAAAAUUAGCCAGGCAUGGUAAUGGGCAUCUGUAAUCCCAGCUACUCGCGAGGCUGAGGCAGGAGAAUUGCUUGAACCUGGGAGACAGAGGUUGCAGUGGGCUGAGAUCACGCCACUGCACUCCAGCAUGGACAACAGAGCGAGACUCCGUCCCCAAAAAAGAAAAAAAAAAAGAACUUUUUUUUCUCCAGCUUCUCCCACUUAGCAUAAUUAUGUUGAGAUUCAGCCAUGUUUUCCUGUGGAUCAAUAAUUUAUUUCUUUAUAUUGCCAAGUGGUAUUCCAUCGUAUGUAUAUACCAUAGUUUGUUUAUCCAUUCAACCACUGAAAGACAUUAGGGUUGUUUUCUGUUUUGGGUUAAUAAAACAAAGCUUCUGUGAACAUUUAUCUACAAGUCUUUGUGUGGAUAUAAGUUUCCAUUUCUCUUAGGUAAAUAUCUAGGGUCAUAAAAUAAGUAUAUACCUAAAUUUUGAAGAAACUACCAAACUAUUUUACAAAAUGGUUGUAUUAUUUUACCUUUUUGCCAGCCAUAUAUGAGAGUGUCAAUUCCUUCACAUUCUUGUCAAAACUUGAUGUGUUCAGUCUUUUUAAUUUUGACCAUUCUAAAAGCAUGUAAUGGGGCCGGGCACAGUGGCUCACACCUGUAAUCCCAGCACUUUGGGAGGCCGAGGCGGGCAGAUCACGAGGUCAGGAGAUCGAGACCAUCCUGGCUAACAUGGUGAAUAAUACUAAAAAUACAAAAAAUUAGCCGGGCAUGGUGGUGGAUGCCUGUAGUCCCAGGUACUCAGGCGGCUGAGGCAGGAGAAUGGCCUGAACCCAGGAGGCAGAGCUUGCAGUGAGCUGAGAUUGCGACACUGCACUCCAGCCUAGGUGACAGAGCGAGACUCUAUCUAAAAAAACAAAACAAAAAUGAAAAAAAAAAACACACAAAAACAUGUAAUGGUAUCCCAUUGUGGUUUUAACUCACAUUACUGUCAGAGGCAUUGGAACCAGAGUGACUCCAUCUUGAGCAGAGGCUAGAUAAAAUAAAGCUGAGACCUUCUGGGCUGCAUUCCCAGGAGGUUAGGCAUUCUUAGUCACAAGAUGAGAUAGGAAGUUGGCACAAGUUACAGGUCACAAAGACCUUGCUGAUAAAACUGGAUGCAGUAAAGAAGCUGGCCAAAACCCACCAAAACUAAGAUAGUGAUGAAAGUGACCUCUGGUUGUCCUUACUGCUCAUUAUAUGCUAAUUAUAAUGCAUUAGCAUGCUAAAAGACACUCCCACCAGUGCCAUAACAGUUUACCAGUGCCAUGGCAACAUCAGGAAGUUACCCUAUAUGGCCUGAAAAGGGGAGGAACCCUCAGUUCCAGGAAUUGCCCACCUCUUUCCUAGAAAACUCAUGAAUAAGUCACCCCUUGUUUAGCAUAAAAUCAAGAAGUAACAAUAAGUAUAAGCAGCUGAGCGGCCCAUGCUGCUGCUCUGUCUAUGGAGCAGCCAUUCCUUUAUUCCUUCACUUUCUUUGUUUUUUGUUUUUUGUUUUGUUUUUUUGUUUGUUUUGAGACAGAGUCUCACUGUGACACCUAGUUUGGACUGCAAUGGCGCGAUCUUGGCUCACUGAAACCUCCGCUUCCCAGGUUCAAACGAUUCUCCUGCCUCAGCCUUCCGAGUAGCUGGGACUACAGGUGUGCACCACCAUGCCUGGCUAAUUUUUGUAGUUUUAGUAGAAAUGAGGUUUCGCCAUAUUGGCCAGGCUGUUCUUGAACUCCUGACCUUAAGUGAUCUGCCUGCUUUGGCCUCCCAAUGUGCUGGGAUUACAGGCUUCAACCACUGAGCCUGGCCUACUCCUUUGCUAUCUUAAUAAACUUGGUUUCAGCUUACUUUAUGGACUCGCCCUAAAUUCUUUCUUGUGCAAGGUCCAAGAACCUUCUCUUGGGGUCUGCAUCAGGACCCCUUUCUGCCCUUUCUGGUAACAGUACCAUAAUAACAAAUAUUAUCGAGCAUAUUUUCAUGUAAUUAUUUGCAACUUGUAUAUCUUCUUUGGUAGAGUGUCUGUUAGAAUAUUUUGUCUAUCUAAAAAUUGGGUUUGUUUUCUUAUUAUUGAAUUUUGAGAGUGUGUUAUAUGUUCUGGACACAAGCCCUUUAUCAGAGAUAUGGUUUGCAAAUAUUUUCUUCUAGUCUGUGACUUUUCUCUCUUAACAAUGUCUUUUGAAGAGCAGGUGUUUUAAAUUUUGAUGAAGUCAGAUGUAUCAAUUUAUGAUUUUAAUAAAUCAUGCUUUUAGCAUAGUAUUUAAGAUACUUAACCCAAGGUCACAAGAGUUUUCUUUUAGAAGUUUUAGUUUUAGGUUUUGCAUUUAGGUAUAUGAUCCAUUUUGAGUUAGUUUAUAUACAUUGUGCAAGGUAAGGACUGAGGUUUUUAAUUUUUGCAUAUAGAUUACCACUUGUGCCAACCUCACUGUUGUGAUGAUAUGAUAGAAAUCACUGUCUUUUCUCCACUGACUUGCUUUUGCAUCUUUGUAAAAAGUUGGUCAUGCCAAUGAAACUGACCCAAUUUUCCCAUAGAACUGAUGGGAAAAACUGUUUACAGUUUUGUUGUUGUUUUUUGUUUUUGUUUUUGUUUUUAAUGAACAUUGAAGUGGACUCUCCAGGUUUUAAAGCUUGAGAAACUUACAUUUGUCUUAUCUGAGUUUAUUUCUCAGGAAACCAGCUGUCAGGCCUCCCAGAUAGUAUCAGAAAGCUGAAGAUUUCCAGAUCGCUGCAUCCUAACAGCAAGGUGCCAGAACCCUGAUUCAACUACCUACUGCCUGUUGAGCAACUCCUACAUAAACUCCUAACUUUAUUGGUUACAGAGACAGAUUUUAGACUUGUCUCCCAUAUCCUGGCUGGCAUCACCAGCAAUAAAGCCUUUCUUCCUGGCAGUACUUGUUGUCUCAGUGAUUGGCUUUCUGUGUGGUGAGCAAUCAGACCUAAGCUGAAUCCCUGGCAUUCACCAACACAUAAAUGUGCAGUUCUGUUUCUGGACUCUCUCUUCUGCUUCAUUGAUCUGUUUUUCUAACUUUAUGCCAAAAUUGCACUAGUUUGAUUACUGUUCCUUUAUAAUAAGCUUUGAAAUAAUGUCAUAUUAGGCCUCCAACUUUGUUCUUCUUUUUGAAAACUGUUUUGGCUAUUUUAGGUCCUUGCAUUUCCAUAAAAGUAUUAGAAUCAGCUUAUCAAUUUCUCCAAAAAAAAAAAAAAAAGCCUACUGAGAUUUUGAUUGGGAUUGCACUGGAUUUAUAGACCAUUUUGGGGAGAACUGACAUCUUAACAAUAUUGAGUCUUCCUCCCAUGAACAAAGUAUAUUUCUUUAUUUGUUUAGGUCUUCUUUAAUUUUUCUCAACGAUGUUGUAUGGUUUUCAGUAUAUAGAUCUUUCAGAGUUUUGUCAGAUUAAUUCUUAAGUAUUUAAUAUUUUUGACCUAAUUGUAAAAGGUAUUAUUUCUUUCCGUUUCAAUUGCCAAUGGGUUAUUGCUAAUAUAUAGAAAUGCAAUUGAUUUUGCCUAUAACUUUGCUAAUAGUUCUAGUAGCUUUUUCAUGUGAAUUCCAUUGGCUAGUCUACAUAGCUCACUGACGCUCUGUUCAUUAAAAGAAUUUUUUCCCUCUGAGUUUCCUUUUAGGUAGCGUCUUUUGCUAUGAUUUCAAUUUCACUUUUUUCCCCUUCUUCAAUAGCUAAUCUGCUACUAAUCCUAUAGUGUUUUUUUCAUCUCAAUAUUGAACUUUCCAUCUGUAGAUGAUUUGAGUCUUUUCUAAAUCUUCCAUGUCUCUAUUUGACCUUUUAAACAUAUAGAAUACAGCUAUAGUAACUGUUUUAAUGUCCUUUUCUGUUUAUUCUACUGUCUGUGUCAGUUCUGGUUUGAUUUCAGUUUAUUGAUUAUUCUCUUCAUUAUGGCUAGUGUUUACCUCCUUCUUUUCAUGAUGAGUAAUUUUUUAUUUGAUGCCAGCCACUAUAAUUUUAUCUUGUUGGGUCUUGGGUUCUUUGCAAUCUUAUAAGUGUUCUUCAGCUUUGUUCUGCAAUACAGUUAAGAUACUUGGCAACACUUGAAUACUUAAAGUCUUGCUUUUAAGAUUUUUUAGGUGGUACUACAGCAGUGCUCAGUUUAGGCAUAAUUAUUCCCCACUACUAAGUUAAGACCCUUCUGUGUACUCUAUUUAUUGCUUCAUGAAUCAUGGUCUUAAAUGUGGCUGGUAAGAAUAGGUACUAUUUCUAGCUGUGUCCGAGUAUCAGACAUUGUUUCUUCUAAUCCACUCAGGUGGUUCUUUUGGCCUUGGGUAAUUUUCUGUCAUGCAUGCACAAAUCAAUACUCAGAAGAAUACUUAAGGAGGUCCCUCUGCAAAACCCUAGAACUCUGUGUGCACAAAUCUCUCCUCUCUGGGAACCUGCUUGUGAGUUCUCACUGCUGUGGUUUUUCCAACCUUCAACUCUGUCUCCCCAACUCAGGGAGGCCUUGGGGCUCCACCAGGGUUCCCUCUCCCUAUAUCUUAGCCUCAAAACUCUUUCACAGUAGUAAAUUUUGGCCACUGUAUGGAUGACAUUAUUUAUGUCUCAUCUCUUAAGUAUCAAAGUAUCAUUAUCCUUAAUUGCCUGGUGUCCAGUACCUUAAAAUUGCUAUUUAAUAUAUUUUGCUUUUUUUUUUUUUUCAGGGAGGAGGGUAAAUCCAAUCCAUCUUGAAUGAGCAUAUGUAUUAGUUUUUAUGCUCCUGAUAAAGACAUAGCUGAGGCUGAGCAAUUUACAAAAGAAAGAGGUUUAAUAGACUUAUAGUUCCUUAUGGCUGGGGAGGCCUCACAAUCAUGGCGGAAGGCAAGAAGGAGCAGGUCACAUCUUACGUGGAUGGCAGUAGGCAAAGAGUUUGUGCAGAGAAACUCACAUUUUAAAACCAUCAGAUCUCCUGAGACCCACGAGAACAGCACAAGAAACAGCACGGGAAAGACGUGCCCCCAUGAUUCAACCAUCUCCCACUGGGUCCCUCCAACAACAUGUGGGAAUUAUGGGAGCUACAAGAUGAGAUUUCGGUGGGGACACAGAGCCAAACCAUAUCAGGGUAGAAUGGUAUUAAAGAAAAAGAUUUUCUUACACUUAUUAAGGCAGUAAGAAAGAUUUAUUCAAGAUUAUUGCAAUAGGUAUCAAGACUGUGCAAUAGGAGACAGGAAAUGGUUGAGCUCAACUCUGAAUACAGCAAAAACCACUGGAGGUUUUUAGCCAGUGAGCAGAAUGGGAGGAGAAGAGUCAGUGGAUGGAAAAUUACUAAGAGGAGAAAUCAAAGGUGGGAGGAUUUUCCCUAAACUGACUUAGCAGGACUCUUGUUACAAUUGGACUAGGCAGGCUGAAGACAGGAUGCAAGGACAAAGCUUGUUGAAAAGAGGCCUCAGAGGAGCUCAUCUAAAAUUUGGUCAAGGGGAGGGUCUUUCUUGGUCCCUCCUCUUGUUCAAGGGAAAAAGAGACAUUCUUCUUUCCUUUGAACAAUAUAAGUCAAUUUCUCAUUUGGUGGCCUUUUUUUCAUUAAGGACAAGCUGAGCCCCCUGCUGAAACUUGGUAGCAGGGCAGCCAGUUGAGAAGAUUUCUAGAUGUCAAGGCAUCUUUAGAUGAUGGGGUGAGGACUGCAGUGGCCAUCCCAGAUCAUGGAUUUUCUGGUUUGCAGUUUGAAUGUCCUUGGUGAUGGCAUAGACAUCAGUGUCACAGUCAUGGUUAUUUUUCCGAGCAGAGUGUAGAAGUGUCCAACUUCAUCUUGAAGGGCUUCUUUAGACAGUCACAAUAAAGAUCUGGGAAGUUAGGUUUUAGUUCUCAGUGAUGCCAAAUCAGGACAGUGGGAGAAAAAUUAAAAACCUCAGUUUGGAGAGUGGUAGCCAGAUAGUAAAGGGAACUAGAAGAACUGAGAAUUUGGUAAGGACUGACAAGCUGUGCAUGAUGACAGGAUCCCGUUCAAUUUACAAGUAGAUAACAAAACCUGAAAGACAAGUACAGGACCAGAAUAAUAACCCAUAAGAAGGUGCUAUAGUUUUUAUAAAAUAUCUUUCUACAGUCAUCCCCCUUUUUUGAUCCAAAUUAACCAAAGUAAGAUUAUUCUUGUUUACAAAAUAAGUCUUGUCUCAUUAUAUUUGACUUACUUAUUUGCAUAAUUGCAGCAAGAAUGGCAACUGACCAGGUAGGCUUAUUUAAGUUUGCAUUGCUGGAACUUUUUACAAGUAAUCUCAGAUUAUGCUUUCAAGAGUUCUUGAAGCUAUAAAGCCAAGUCAAGCACCACCAGGCCUUAUCUGCAAUGCCUAGAGAUUCAGAUGGGUUCUUCUCUUCUUGAGGUCCUAAAAACAUCCUGAGUUUCUUUGGCCUGCCAGAAAGUCACCUUCCUGACUCACCUGUAAGGCUGGGAACUCCAUAAUCCAGGUACCAGGCAGACUUUCCGGGAGGGCUUCAUAUGCAUUGGCUCCAUAAAGUUAACCUUAGUUCCUCAAAACUGUCUGUUCAUAUGUGAUUUUAUGUCUUAUUCUCAGUUGGAAAUGCAGAAAUCACCUGUCUUCUGCGUCGAUCAGGCUGGGAGCUGCAGACCGGAGCUGUUCCUAUUCGGCCAUCUUGGAAUGGACCCCCAUGUCUUAUUCUCAAAUAAAACAUUUUGGUCAAAGCCUUGAUUAUCUAAUCAAUUUUUAAAAUUAUGUUCUGUUACAAAAAGGACAGAUUCUUAUCGAACCCAUAUAAAAUAGUAUAUCACCAUUGAUACGGUUUGGAUCUGUGUCCCCACUCAAAUCUGAUGUUCAAUUGUAAUCUCCCAGUGUUAGAGGUGAG